UGCAGUCGACGAGAAGUGGAGCAAUUCACGAGUAAAGUGGCGCACGGGUGAGUAACACGUGACUAACCUACCUUUUAGUGGGGGAUAACCUAGGGAAACCUGGGCUAAUACCGCAUAAUACCUACGGGUCAAAGCAGCAAUGCGCUGAAAGAGGGGGUCGCGGUCGAUUAGUUAGUUGGCAGGGUAAUGGCCUACCAAGACUGUGAUCGAUAUCCGGCCUGAGAGGGCGCACGGACACACUGGAACUGAAACACGGUCCAGACUCCUACGGGAGGCAGCAGUGGGGAAUUUUGCGCAAUGGGGGAAACCCUGACGCAGCAACGCCGCGUGGAGGAUGAAGUCCCUUGGGACGUAAACUCCUUUCGACCGGGAAGAUAAUGACGGUACCGGAAGAAGAAGCCCCGGCUAACUUCGUGCCAGCAGCCGCGGUAAUACGAGGGGGGCAAGCGUUGUUCGGAAUUAUUGGGCGUAAAGGGUGCGUAGGUGGUUCGGCAAGUCUUGUGUGAAAUCUUCAGGCUCAACUUGAAGUCUGCACAAGAAACUGCCGGGCUUGAGUAUGGGAGAGGUGAGUGGAAUUUCCGGUGUAGCGGUGAAAUGCGUAGAUAUCGGAAGGACCCCUGGUGGCGAAAGCGGCUCACUGGAACCAUUACUGACCACUGGAGGCACGAAAGCUAGGGGAGCAAACAGGAUUAGAUACCCUGGUAGUCCUAGCCUUAAACGAUGAUCCGCUUGGUGUGGCGGGUUACCACCCUGCCGGGCGUAGCUAACGCGUUAAGCGAUCCGCCUGGGGAGUACG
rnacentral:rRNA from 1 species